rnacentral:rRNA from 1 species
UAUUGGACAAUGGGGGGAACCCUGAUCCAGCCAUGCCGCGUGUGUGAAGAAGGCCUUUUGGUUGUAAAGCACUUUAAGCGAGGAGGAGGCUCCCAGUAUUAAUACUACUGGAGAGUGGACGUUACUCGCAGAAUAAGCACCGGCUAACUCUGUGCCAGCAGCCGCGGUAAUACAGAGGGUGCAGGCGUUAAUCGGAUUUACUGGGCGUAAAGCGUGCGUAGGUGGCCAAUUAAGUCAAAUGUGAAAUCCCCGAGCUUAACUUGGGAAUUGCAUUCGAUACUGGUUGGCUAGAGUAUGGGAGAGGAUGGUAGAAUUCCAGGUGUAGCGGUGAAAUGCGUAGAGAUCUGGAGGAAUACCGAUGGCGAAGGCAGCCAUCUGGCCUAAUACUGACACUGAGGUACGAAAGCAUGGGGAGCAAACAGG